UACGAAGGGGGCUAGCGUUGCUCGGAAUGACCGGGCGUAAAGCGUGCGUAGCCGGUUACAUAAGUCGGGUGUGAAAGCCCCGGGCUCAACCUGGGAAUUGCAUUCGAGACUGCGUAGCUAGGGUGCGGAAGAGGGAAGCGGAAUUUCCGGUGUAGCGGUGAAAUGCGUAGAUAUCGGAAGGAACACCAGUGGCGAAAGCGGCUUCCUGGUCCAGCACCGACGUUCAGGCACGAAAGCGUGGGGAGCAAACAGG
rnacentral:rRNA from 1 species